AUCAUCUUUUCUUCUCCACCUUCACCAUCGAAAAUUAGCAGCAAAAUAGGGGUUUGAGAGCUCAAAAAUUUCAGCAAGCUUUUCUCCUUACAAAUCAAGAAUUAAAGAAAUCGGACUUGGAUCGGGGGAAAACAAAAGUCGUCGAUUAAUCGUUCUGUUUCGGUUUAUCGUUGUCCGAGAUUUUGGAAGUUAGUUGCAGGAUCGGGGAUUGUCAACGAAAUCAAUCACACUAUCGUCCGUUAUCAGUAUCUAUAAAAGUUAAACUUAAACUUAUGGCAUGUAUAGUUUAUUCUACUUUUUGGAACAUAUAUUGAAUGAUGUAUAUAUAUAUAAUGAGCCAUGCGAAAAUGGCUUGUUUAUUUUGAUAUGUAUGGUUUCAUGCUUGAUUAAAUUAAAUAACAUGGUUAAUUGUU